GCCAGUUCCUUCUUGCUUUUACAACGUAGUGGCCGACUGACACGUCUCUGUUACAAACGUCCACUGUAUUUCCCGCCGCCCUACUUUCACCGCAAUCUGCGAUCGUACUGGUGCAGCCAAAGCGAUCUGCAGGGGUCAUCUUCGUCUGUGACAUUUGCCUUGGAUAGAUACCCUGGGUCUGGGUUAUCACGACCAUGCCAGGUCGCAGGCCCUACCGCCAAGUCAUCGACGGUGUACCGAGGUGCCCUCUGGUCGUUCCAGCAGUAUUUCGUAAAAGCCUCUCCUUCCGCGCUGCCAAGGGUGACGUCGUGCAGAGCACCUACCCAAAAAGUGGGACCCAUUGGGUUCAGUACAUAACGCAGUUAAUCGUCAACGGAGGAAAACCCAUCAGCUCCUACGGCGAGUUCACCCGCAACCACCGGGCAAUCGAGUAUGUGGAAACUGAUGGCUGGGAGUCGCCUCUACCUGUGAGACUGUUUCUGACGCACCAACCGCACAGCCGUGAGACUAUGAACAAGGAGGCGAAGUACAUAUACAUCGCUCGAAACCCGUGGGACGUCUGCGUCUCGCAGUUUCGCAUGACCACAGACCUCAGCUACUUCCAGUUCGAGGACGGCACAUUCGAAGAGUUCUUCGAACCUUUCAUCGAGGGAGACUUGGGCUUUGGGAGCUACUUCGACCACGUGGCGUCAGCGUACACCAUCAAAGACGACCCGAACUUCUUCUUCGUCACUUACGAAGAGCUCAAGAAGGACACUAGAGGCACAGUUUUGAGAUUGGCUAGCUUUUUGGGUGAGAGAUACGAGAGAGCUCUGCUUGAAAACUCGCAAACGCUACUGAAUAUCCUUGAAUGGUCCAAACCAGAACACGAGGAAUGUCAUCGUGUUUAAUCACAAAGAAAGUGAGACACCGGAAUGGAACGAUCUAUUUGCUAAGAUUAAUAUUACGAGCAAGGAAGGCCACGGUGGAGACAAAACAAAGUACGCUUUAGUAAAAGAAGCCAAAGUGGGAAGCUGGAAGGAAUACUUCACGCCUUACCUGCUUGCCCGUUUGGAGAAGAAAAUACAGGAAGAAGGAGACAAGGCACGUUUUAUGAAUAUGUGGGAAGACAUUCGAAAGGAAGCGUUCAAGUUAUCCCGAGGGUCUUCAGAGUACCGUGACUUUUCGUUACCUUAAUACGAAAUUCGCAUAAUCUAUUUGAAACACGGAUUCAAACAUCGGGGAAUGCAGGCCAGAGUGCAUCAACGCAUUUCUUUGAAGGGUGUUCUUGUAAAAUAGGAACGACGACUUUAGUUGGCUGUGCCGCAGUUUUCAUCUGCCGCUGCAGUUCCCUUUCUCAACAGAACCAUGCCAAACGAAAACUCCAAGCACUGCCUACUAUUUCCGUUGUGCAUGAACGAUCGCGGUGUUACGUUUCUCUAUCGUAAUUUUAGUAAUAAACUCGCUGACUUGUUGUCUGA